rnacentral:rRNA from 1 species
AGAGUUUGAUCCUGGCUCAGGACGAACGCUGGCGGCGUGCUUAACACAUGCAAGUCGAGCGAGGCCCUCCUUCGGGGGGUGCCCUAGCGGCGAACGGGUGAGUAACACGUGGGCAACCUGCCCUCAGCUUCGGGAUAACUCCAAGAAAUUGGUGCUAAUACCGGAUGUGACCGCUGACCGCAUGGUCUGGUGGUGGAAAGAUUCAUCGGCUGGGGAUGGGCCCGCGGCCUAUCAGCUUGUUGGUGGGGUAAUGGCCUACCAAGGCGACGACGGGUAGCCGGCCUGAGAGGGUGACCGGCCACACUGGGACUGAGACACGGCCCAGACUCCUACGGGAGGCAGCAGUGGGGAAUAUUGCGCAAUGGGCGGAAGCCUGACGCAGCGACGCCGCGUGAGGGAUGACGGCCUUCGGGUUGUAAACCUCUUUCAGUAGGGACGAAGCGGAAGUGACGGUACCUACAGAAGAAGCACCGGCCAACUACGUGCCAGCAGCCGCGGUAAUACGUAGGGUGCAAGCGUUGUCCGGAAUUAUUGGGCGUAAAGAGCUCGUAGGCGGUCUGUCACGUCGGCUGUGAAAACCCGAGGCUCAACCUCGGGCCUGCAGUCGAUACGGGCAAACUGGAGUACUGCAGGGGAGACUGGAAUUCCUGGUGUAGCGGUGAAAUGCGCAGAUAUCAGGAGGAACACCGGUGGCGAAGGCGGGUCUCUGGGCAGUAACUGACGCUGAGGAGCGAAAGCGUGGGGAGCGAACAGGAUUAGAUACCCUAGUAGUCC